rnacentral:rRNA from 1 species
AUUAUUUUUAUUGUGAAAAUGAAGUUAAAGUAUUAAUAGUUAUGAUCUUAAAACUUAAAGAAUUUGGCGGUAUUAUAGUCUAUUUAGAGGAAUCUGUUAUGUAAUCGAUAGUCCCCGUUAACCCUUACUUAUAUAAGUUCUUGUAUACCGCUGUUUAAGAAUAUACUUUUAGGUGAUUUUCUGGAUAUAUAAUUAAUUAAAAUUUCAAGUCAAGGUGCAGGAAUAUAUAAGUUGAAUAAUGGAUUACAAUAAAAUUUAUUUANNNNGGAUGAAUAUUGAAAUUAUAUUUUGAAGGUGGAUUUAAUUGUAAUUUUAUGUAUAUUAUUAAAAAGAAUUAUAGCUCUAUAAUAUGUACACAU